rnacentral:lncRNA from 1 species
UUGGGAAGCUGCAUCUGUUGAUGAGUGGUUAUACAAUGGUGGUCCUUAUGAGCUAAUUGUUCUACACUUCUUACUUGGUGUAGCUUGUUAUAUGGGUCGUGAGUGGGAACUUAGUUUCCGUCUGGGUAUGCGUCCUUGGAUUGCUGUUGCAUAUUCAGCUCCUGUUGCAGCUGCUACUGCUGUUUUCUUGAUUUACCCUAUUGGUCAAGGAAGCUUUUCUGAUGGUAUGCCUUUAGGAAUCUCUGGUACUUUCAACUUUAUGAUUGUAUUCCAGGCAGAGCACAACAUCCUUAUGCAUCCAUUCCACAUGUUAGGUGUAGCUGGUGUAUUCGGCGGUUCCCUAUUCAGUGCUAUGCAUGGUUCCUUGGUAACCUCUAGUUUGAUCAGGGAAACUACUGAAAAUGAAUCUGCUAAUGAGGGUUACAAAUUUGGUCAAGAGGAAGAGACUUAUAAUAUUGUGGCUGCUCAUGGUUAUUUUGGCCGAUUAAUCUUCCAAUAUGCUAGUUUCAACAACUCUCGUUCUUUACACUUCUUCUUGGCUGCUUGGCCUGUAGUAGGAAUCUGGUUCACUGCUUUAGGUAUUAGUACUAUGGCUUUCAACCUAAAUGGUUUCAAUUUCAACCAAUCUGUAGUUGAUAGUCAAGGUCGCGUUAUUAAUACUUGGGCUGAUAUCAUCAACCGUGCUAACCUUGGUAUGGAAGUAAUGCACGAACGUAAUGCUCACAACUUCCCUCUAGACUUAGCUGCUGUUGAAGUUCCAGCUAUUAAUGGAUAAGGUUUUUCUGCUAACAUAUAAGAAUUUUUGAAGAAAGAAAAGACAAAAAUACCCAAUAUCUUGUUCUAGCAAGAUAUUGGGUAUUUUGAAUCUUUUUUUUCUUCUUAAUCUUUCUAUUCAGAAUUCAGUUAACGACGAGAUUUAGUAUCCUUUCUUGCAUUUUCAUAACUCGUAAAAUGCCGAGUAGGCACGAAUUCUCCCAAUUUGCGACCUACCAUAGGAUUUGUUAUGUAAAUAGGUAUAUGUUCCUUUCCAUUAUGAAUCGCAAUUGUAUGGCCAACCAUUGUGGGUAGAAUGCUAGAUGCCCGGGACCACGUUACUAUUGUUUCUUUCUCCUCCUUCAUAUUGACCUUUUCUAUCUUUGCCAAUAAAUGAUGAGCUACAAAAGGAUUCGUUUUUUUUCGUGUCACAGCUGAUUACUCCUUUUUUCCUUUUUAAAGAGUGGCAUUCUAUGUCCAAUAUCUCGAUCGAAGUACGGAGGUCAGAAUAAAUAGAAUAAUGAUCAACGGAAAAAAGAAAAAAAUCCUUUAGCUGGAUAAGGGGCGGAUGUAGCCAAGUGGAUCAAGGCAGUGGAUUGUGAAUCCACCAUGCGCGGGUUCAAUUCCCGUCGUUCGCCCAUCGCAUUAUUGCAAAUUCCAAAAAUGCAAUUUUCCAUAUUCCUAGUUACGUAUUUACUUACGGCGACGAAGAAUAAAACUAUCGCUAUAUUUUUUCCUUUUCCUAGUUCUUCUUCCAAGCGCAGGAUAACCCCAAGGGGUUGUGGGUUUUUUUCUACCAAUGGGAGCUUUCCCUUCACCGCCCCCAUGGGGGUGGUCCACAGGGUUCAUAACUACCCCUCUUACUACGGGGCGUUUACCUAGCCAACACUUAGAUCCGGCUCUACCCAAACUUUUUUGGUUCACCCCAACAUUACCCACUUGUCCGACUGUUGCUAAGCAAUUUUGGGAUACUAAACGGACCUCCCCAGAUGGUAAUCUUAAAGUGGCCGAUUUACCCUCUUUUGCAAUGAGUUUCGCUACAGCACCUGCUGCUCUAGCUAAUUGCCCACCCCUUCCACGUGUGAUUUCUAUGUUAUGCAUGGCCGUGCCUAAGGGCAUAUCGGUUGAAGUAGAUUCUUCUUUUCUCUCAAAAAACCCCUUCCCAAACUGUACAAGCUUCUUCCAAAGCAUACGGCUUUCUAGAUGUAUAUGACGAUCUCUAGACAGAUGGAUCUUAUAUGAAUCAUAUGAUGAAGUACCACAUGAGUGGAUAUAUAGGAAAGGAAUCCAAAUCUGCCGAAUCGCUCAUGUUAUGAUCUUCUACAUCCUAGGUCUCUGCGUUCCGUCAUCUGGCUUAUGUUCUUCAUGUAGCAUUCAGAUCGAAUGACUCUAUGAAAUUACGUCGAUACUUCCACAUAUUAUGGGUAACGUAGGAGACAUCCCUAUUUUCCCCCGGGGGUCUUAAUUACCACUGCUUAGCUUUCAAUUUGCCUCUGACCAUCAAAUUAAAUGUGAAUAACCCGUCCUCCUCUCUUUGAAACAAGGGGCGCUUCCGGUUCUGUGCGUGCUUCAAACAAUUUUGUCUUCUCCAUAUUACCAUAUCUCUAGAGUCAAUAAUUUUCUAUGAGGAACUACUGAACUCAAUCACUUGCUGCCGUUACUCAACAGUUUUCUGUUGAGGUCUAUCCCGUAGAGGUAGUCAAAUUGGAUCAGUGAUCGAUUUCUAGGUUUCGUCGUAAACCUAAUUGGUUACUUCCAAUUACGUAAAUCAAUAGUUCAAACCGCACUCAAAGGUAGGGCAUUUCCCAUUGAUAUAGGAACUUUUGUACCAGAAACAAUAGUAUCUCCAAUUAUAGCCCCUCUGGGAUGUAAAAUAUAUCUCUUCUCACCAUCCCCAUAGUGUAUGAGACAAAUGUAUGCAUUUCGAUUAGGGUCGUAUUCUAUGGUUACGAUUCUACCAGAUAUGUCUUUUUGAUUCCGUCGAAAAUCUAUUUUACGGUAUAGGCGCUUAUGACCUCCCCCUCUAUGCCUUGCGGUAAUGAUUCCUCUGGAAUUACGACCUUUACCACAACGGUGCCGUCCAUGGAUCAAAUUAUUUCGUGGAUUGGAUUUCACUUGCCUGUCUACGGUUCCCUUGCGUGUGCUCGGGAUAGGUGUUUUGUAUAAAUGUUUCGCCGUAUUAUUAAGUAUUCUCCUUUAGUUUUUUUCUCUAUCUAGAAGUGGAAUAGAAUAACCCGGUUGAAGGGUAAUGAUCAUACGUCUGUAAUGCAUUGUAUGGCCCAGAAUAGGUCCUAUUCUUCUACCUUUUCCAGGUAGUCGAUGGCUAUUCACAGCUACCACCUUAACACCAAAGAAGAGUUCGACCCAAUGCUUUAUUUCUGUCUUAGUGAAUCCCGAUUCGACAUUAAAAGUAUAUUGAUUCUUUCCCAAUAAACGAAGACUUUUUUCUGUAAAUACUGCGUAUUUGAUUCCAUCCAUAAAUCGACUUUCCCUCCUAUGCUCUGAGUUCCAGUAUCGAUAAGAAUUCGAGUUCUUAUUGUUCUUAUGUUAUGGUAUGAAUAUACCAUACCAAUUCGUUAUGUAUGGAUGAUGGAUGAGAUUCCAUGGAUAGAGAGCCAGUUCCAAUAGACUUAUGGAAUGUUCCCGUUCGUGUGCAUCCAGCAGGAAUUGAACCCGCAAAUUUACCAAUUAUGAGUUGGGCGCUUUAACCAUUCAGCCAUGGAUGCUUAACAGGGAUCAUCGUACAUCGUAAAUAACCAAUUUUCAUAUAGAAAGACAUAUCAUAGAAAAAUGAAAUCGAAAAUAUUCCGAGAUGGCAAAUAUUCGGAGAUGACUAUGAAAACACCUCUCUGGAUCCUCGAAUUGAAAGAGAGAUUGAGAGGGAUCAAGAAUCCUAAUUCUCGCUAUUUGGAAUGGAUCCAAUUCUAUUGAGUCUGACUCAUAGUGAUCAUUUCUCUUUAGCAAAGAAUGACCUUGGUUAUCAAAGGAUUGAACAACCGGGAUCCAUUUCCUUAUGAUACCUAGUUGGCAUUGAUAACAAGGAUCUAAUGAAUUAUGAGUUUAAUAGAUCCUCUUUAGCAGAAAGACGUAUAUUCCUUGCUCAUUAUCAGACAAUCACUUAUUCCCAAACCUCGUGUGGGACUAAUCGUUUUCAUUUACCAUCUCAUGGAAAACCCUUUUCGUUCCGCUUAGCCCUAUCGGGUAUUUUAGUGAUAGGUUCUAUAGGAACUGGACGAUCCUAUUUGGUCAAAUACCUAACGAAAAAUUACGAUUUUCCUUUCAUUAAGGUACGAGGGCUUCUUAUUCCACAAGAACGAAAGCACCUUUUCAUUCUUUCAUAUACUAGGGGUUUUUACUUGGAAAAGACAAUGUUCCAUACUAAAGGAUUCGGGUCCAUAACCACGAGUUCCAGUGCACUAGAUCUUGUAGCACUUAGCAACGAGGCCCUAUCCAUUAGUAUUCCACAUAAGAAAUCCAUUCUAGAAAAAAAUACAAUUAGAUUAGCUCUUCAUAGACAAACUUGGGGUUUGCGAGCCAAGGUAAGAUCGGCUCGGGAUCAUGGGACCCUUUUCUAUCAGAUAGGAGGGGCUCUUGUACAAAAUAGACUUACUAAGUAAUAACCCCAUAGAAUCUAUCUAUAUAAAGAUAAAGAGGCAAUCGUGUCAGGAAGCGGGUUUUUCUUUGGCCAAAAGGUACUUCGAACUUGGAACGAGCAUGAAGAGAUUAACGAGACUUCUUUCUCUUUUGAGUUUUUCUGGCGGACCUGCCGCGCAAGAUCUUUGGUCUUCCCCUGGAACCGAUGAAAAAAAGUGGAUCGCUUCUUAUGUACUCGCUCAGAAUGAUUCUUCUCUAUCUAUAGUUCAUGGCCUAUUAGAAGUAGAAGGUGCUCUGGUGCAAUCCUUACCGACAGAAAAAGAUUGCAGUCAGGUUGAUAAUAGUCGAGUGACAUUACUUCGUCGGUCCGAACUAAGGAAUCUGUUAUAAAUGUUUUGAAAUGGAUAUUGUUCUCUCUUUGAUCAGGGAUUGCUAUAUGAAAAGAAGUGGAGUUUGAAAAAGGGAACGGAAUGCUCAAACCGGAACUGCUAGAGGAACGAAUUUUCAAUAGCAUAACUUGGGCUCCUAGAAUAUGGCGCCCUUGGGACAAUCUAUUUGAUUGCAGGGUUUUGUUCCGAAGCAAAGAUAUCCGCGGAGGCCGGUUCGUUCGUCCUAUUCUGAUAUUCAGGACCAAGAGGUACUGGAUUCUCUUU